rfam:Brachypodium distachyon strain Bd21 chromosome 1, whole genome shotgun sequence.
AUUAUACUCCCUCCGUUCCAUAAGUGUCACAAUUUUGUCUAGAUACGCAUCUAUCUAGACACGUUUUAGUGUGUAGGUACAUGUGUAUUUAGACAAAGUUGUAACACUUAAUAUGGGACAGAGGGAGUAUUAC